GAUCCUGGCUCAGGAUGAACGCUAGCGAUAGGCUUAACACAUGCAAGUCGAGGGGCAGCAUGGUCUUAGCUUGCUAAGGCUGAUGGCGACCGGCGCACGGGUGCGUAACGCGUAUGCAACUUGCCUCACAGAGGGGGAUAACCCGUCGAAAGACGGACUAAUACCGCGUACACUCCAUCUUGGGCAUCCAGGCUAGAGGAAAUGAAAUUCGCUGUGAGAUAGGC
rnacentral:rRNA from 1 species